AGUGAACGCUGGCGGUAGGCCUAACACAUGCAGGUCGAACGGCAGCACAGGAGAGCUUGCUCUCUGGGUGGCGAGUGGCGGACGGGUGAGGAAUACAUCGGAAUCUACUCUGUCGUGGGGGAUAACGUAGGGAAACUUACGCUAAUACCGCAUACGACCUACGGGUGAAAGCAGGGGACCUUCGGGCCUUGCGCGAUUGAAUGAGCCGAUGUCGGAUUAGCUAGUUGGCGGGGUAAAGGCCCACCAAGGCGACGAUCCGUAGCUGGUCUGAGAGGAUGAUCAGCCACAGUGGAACUGAGACACGGUCCAGACUCGUACGGGAGGCAGCAGUGGGGAAUUUUGGGCAAUGGGGGCAACCCGGAUCCAGCCAUGCCGCGUGAGUGAAGAAGGCCUUCGGGUUGUAAAGCUCUUUCGCGAAGGAAGAAAGCGCACUGGUUAAUACCUGGUGUGGAUGACGGUACCUUGAUAAGAAGCACCGGCUAACUACGUGCCAGCCGCCGCAGUAA
rnacentral:rRNA from 1 species